rnacentral:rRNA from 1 species
GACGAACGCUGGCGGCGUGCUUAACACAUGCAAGUCGAGCGGAAAGGCCACUUCGGUGGUACUCGAGCGGCGAACGGGUGAGUAACACGCGAGUAAUCUGCCCUCUACUUCGGGAUAGCCCUGGGAAACUGGGAUUAAUACCGGAUACGACCAAUGCCUGCAUGGGUUGUUGGUGGAAAGUUUUUUCGGUGGAGGAUGUGCUCGCGGCCUAUCAGCUUGUUGGUGGGGUAAUGGCCUACCAAGGCUUCGACGGGUAGCCGGCCUGAGAGGGUGACCGGCCACACUGGGACUGAGACACGGCCCAGACUCCUACGGGAGGCAGCAGUGGGGAAUAUUGGACAAUGGGCGGAAGCCUGAUCCAGCAACGCCGCGUGAGGGAUGACGGCCUUCGGGUUGUAAACCUCUUUCAGCGGGGACGAAGCGCAAGUGACGGUACCCGCAGAAGAAGCACCGGCCAACUACGUGCCAGCAGCCGCAGUAACAC